rnacentral:lncRNA from 1 species
CAUGGGAUGGGACCCAUGGGAUAAGAUCUGCAGGAUAUCUCGGGUGGGAUGGGACACCUGAGAUGGGAUCCAUGGGAUGGGACACCUGGGAUGGAAUUCGUGGGAUGGGAUCCAUGGGAUGGGAUAUCUCAGGUGGGAUCCAUGGGAUGGGACACCUGGCAUGGGAUAUCUGAGGUGGGAUCCAUGGGAUGGGAUCCAUGGUGUGGGAUCCAUGGGAUGGGAUCCGCAGGAUAUCUCAAGUGGGAUGAGACUUGGGAUGGGAUCCAUGGGAUGGGAUCCAUGGGAUGGGACACCUGGGGAAGGAUCCAUGGGGAGGGAUCCAGGGGAUGGGAUCCGUGGGAUAUCCAGGUGGGAUGAGAGCGGCGGGUGUCCCCAGGCCAGGUGCAGAGCCGGGAGUGCAUCGAGCAGGUCAUCAGGUUCGCCUACGAGGAGAAGCUCUUCCUCCUGGCUGACGAGGUGUACCAGGACAACAUCUACGCCGAGGGCUCGUCCUUCCACUCCUUCAAGAAGGUCCUGGUGGAGCUGGGGCCGCCCUACUCGGACUCGGUGGAGCUGGCCUCCUUCCACUCCGUCUCCAAGGGCUUCAUGGGAGAGUGAGUCUGGGAAUGCCGGGAAUGGCACCGCCCCCCACACCCAGCCUGGUGGGAAAGUCCUCAUGGGUCCUGUGGGAUGUGGGGUGGAGGUGCCACCACCCCAUGGAUCUGCUGGGGUUGGAAUUGGGAUCAUGGAUUGGCAUGGAUGGGAUCCAUGGAUCUCCUGGGAUUGGGGAUGGAGGUGCCACCACCCCAUGGAUCUCCAUGGAUUUGGGAUGGAGGUGCCACCACCACCCCAUGGAUCUGCUGGGGUUGGGAUUGGAGGUGACCUUGGAUGUGGAUGUUGAGGUUCCGUGGGUGCCAUGUCUUAUCCAUGGAUUCCCAUCCUGGAGCCCCAUCCAUGGGUCCUGCCUAUGGAUCCCAUCCAUGGGUUCCAUCCAUGGAUCCCACCCACAUCUCCCAUCCAUGGGUCCCUCUCCAUAGGUUCCCAUCCAUGGAUUCCCACCCACGAAUCCCAUCCAUAGAUCCCCUUGAUGGAUCCUGCUCCAUAGGUUCCUA